CGUUACGCAAUAUUCCUCUCCCUAUACUAUCCAACACUCGUGUCGCUGCCUGUCUACUGCGACGUCAUCGGCGGUGGUGGCCGCCGCGGCUGGACGUGGUGGUCUACGCCUGCGCCUGCAGCCGGUGGCGGGACGCCGCGGUCUCCAUCGUGCAGCCGCCGCUUGAGUGCGAGCGGACCAUGUUCCCCUCAUCGCUUAAGCAGCUGGAGAUGAUUUUUUUUUCUUUCCGCGGGAGAAAAAUCUGGAUGCUCGAUUUGCAGCUGUUCAUUGAGGAAAUGUUUUUGAUUUGAUUUGAUUCAGAAAGUGGGAUUUUCUUUUUUGUUGCUGCAUCUGUCUGGAUGUAUUAAAAGUUGAAUAUAUUUGUUCCGCUCCCGA